rnacentral:piRNA from 1 species
CAGUGGUGGAGGCCGAGAUGGUGGAC